UUGCAAAACAGUACAAAACCCACCAACUUUUUGGCCGAAGACUCCUGAAUACUUUAUGUGCUCCCUGGAACUUGGCUUCUGCAGGACUCUUUAAAAUCGGAUAGUCCUGACUAACUGCAUUCUGUGCCUGAAGAACAGCUCUGACUGAAGGGAAGUGUUAAUGCAGUGAUAGAUGACUAGAACAUCUGUUAUCAACUUAUAUGAAUUUGAAAUCAUGACUUCUGUUGGAGAUAUUCUUUAUCCUAUUUUCCUUCUUUAAUAAUAUAUUUGGAACCAUCAUGAGGCCAAAUUGUGAAGCAGAACUAAUGUGAUAAAGACUUCCUGGACUUCCCUGCCUUAUAUGAUGGUUGUAGUUCAUCCUAUAGAAUAUGUUAUUCUCAGCGGUGUUUGGAUUCUUAGAUGAGAUUUGCCAGACUGGGAACUAAAGCACUUAGAACACUUUGGCAAGGCUUUGGAGCUGGAUUUCACUGUGCAACUGUGAAGCUGUUCUUGCAAAGGUUUGACAGGAAGAGACUUCAGUGCUGAGCCAGAAAAUAAGUGCAUCCAAAGAAGAGCUGACCCAUUAUUCAAGCAUCUCCAGUCUUCUUUGCUACAAAGAAGAUACUACACACCUGCUGCUACAGUUGUCUCUGGUUAAAAAACUCUUCCCUUCAAUUUAGGAAGCCUGACCAAGAGAUAAAUUAUUUCUCCUUGUCAAUGAACACACAUUUUUUAUUUGCUUAAUCCGAUACAAUUUCUUUCUCCUCAUCUCAUUUUUGAUUUUCCUUUCUUGGAGAAAAAUGAGAGAGGAAAAUGAGGUUUAGAUUAAGUAAACAGAUGCCAAACAUUUUGUGAGGCUGUUAUACAUUAGAUGUCCCAGCUACAACCUUUAUCUGUCUUUAUAACAUUGUAUUCAUGUGAAUAUUGAGUUACAUGGAUUCAUUUUGUAUGCCAUCGUAAAGCUGCAUCUUGAAGUCCUCUUCUCUUGGGAGAUCUUUGUGCAAUUUCCUUAUCAAUGUACAGCACUACUGAAAUAACUAUUUUAGGUGUUCUCUCAUGGACAGAUGACCCAGGACAGACACAGUCAUCUCACUGUGCUUUGUGUGAUUCAUCUGCAGUUCAAUUCUUUGGAGUUUCAGCUCUUAGCACAAUACCACUUCCUGUUUUUGAGAGGAGAAAUGGCAUAAAAAAUCACAUAAAAAGUCUUAUGAGGCCCUUGGACAUCAAAUAACUCUUGCAAAACAAAAUUUUAAUAAAUUAAGUGUAAAUGAAUCAGAAACAUGUGGGUUGAAUUUCCCUGGAAAUACCCAAGGGCUUAAAAAUUAAAAAAAAAAUUAAAAAGAAUUGCUUGGCAAAGAAUCUUGUGCAUUUUACUGAGCUCAAGCCUUUUGAAAAAGAGCAAAAGAAAACAGCCUUGAUUUGGUUGACUGAAUUAAGAAAACACUCCUGUACCCUUUAUUUAUUUUUAAUUCUACAAAAGUCAGAUUGAAGGUAUAAUUACGUUUCUUUUUGGGUGCCAAAUACAUCGAUGUUAGAGCAUUUUUCAAGUACAGUAACAUUUUGACUAACCAGAACCUCAAGUCAUGGUUGUCUUUUCAAAGGCAAUAGUGGCAGGCAAAGAAAAACUAAAAACUGUAGUUCAAGUAAAGGUCAUUAGAGCUGAGGUAAAGAAAACAUGGUGAUCAUUCAGUUCACUAACCAAGAGGAUCCUAACUGUAAAGGAACCCUGAGCCUUGGUAGUUAGCCACUGAACAAAGCACAAAAAGCAGUCAUGUGAAGACCAAAGCUCAGAAUGUAAGGAAAGUUGAAAUAAGUGGAAAAAUCUGUCUACUGAACGGAAGCUCUGGAAUAAAAGGAAAUGGCUGACCAAGGAAAAUAAAAGUUGCAAGAACUGAAAAAUUUAAAUAGCAGCUAGCAAUGGCCAAAAUGAAGCACAGGCAUAGGGAUUUGAAGGUUGGACACAGAAAAGCAAAACAAAGACCAAUAUUCACACCCCAAACCGUACUGUGAACACAAAG
ensembl:lncRNA